rnacentral:rRNA from 1 species
AGCGAACGCUGGCGGCAUUCUUACCACAUGCAAGUCGCGCGGCCGGCAACGGCAGCGGCGGACGGGUGAGUAACGCGUAGGAAUGUAUCCUGAGGUGGGGGACAACCCUGGGAAACUGGGGCUAAUACCGCAUGGGAGCUGAGGCUCAAAGCCUUCGGGUGCCUUGGGAGCAGCCUGCGUCCGAUUAGCUAGUUGGUGGGGUAAUGGCCUACCAAGGCGGCGAUCGGUAGCCGGUCUGAGAGGACGAUCAGCCACACUGGGACUGAGACACGGUACCGUCUCGUAGGGGCGGCAGAAUUGGGGAAUAUUGGACAAGCGACGCAAGCCUGUUCGGUCAAUGCCGGGUGGGUGAAGAAGGUCUUGGGAUUGUAAAGCCCUUUCGGCGGGGACGAUGAUGCCGGUACCCGCAGAAGAAGCCCCGGCUAACUUCGUGCCAGCCGCCGCAGUAAGAC